GAACUCCUGCUUUGUGCGCGGUGUCAUAAUUGACAUUGGCCCAAUAAACCCACAUCUCUAAUAAGGGAUGCCGAUUUGAAUCUGCGGAUUGCAGGCCUCCCGGCCUUGUGUCGGAAGUUGGAAGCAGCGAAACAGAACUUAGGCGACCCACCUGCUUAUUUGUGCAGGUUACCAUUGGGCCCAACGGCAAAAGCGGGAUAGCC
rfam:Firmicutes bacterium CAG:555 genomic scaffold, scf82